CAAAGCAAAUGAGUCAGACAAUGUUCUGUUGUAAUCCAUAAAAUUUUCCUUGGAUAAUUUUCAGAAAUAGAUCCUAGGCCUUUCUUCCUGUUUGUUUUCGUCUGGAUGCUCUGUUGAAACCUGUCUACCAUGAGUGACCCUGAAAUACUGAUGCCAUAACUUCUAGCUUCACAGCAACAUAAAUCCACCAAGGUACAACGAACUGACAGACUGGUUGUGGUUCCAUAUAUAUGAAACCAAACCUACUGCCUUUAAGUUGAUUCUGACUCAUAGCAACCCUCCAGGACAGAGUAGAACUGCCCCAUAGGGUUGCCAAGGCUGUAAAUCUUUGCGGAAGCAGACUGCCAGAUCUUUCUCCCAUGGAGUGGCUGGUGGAUUCAAACUGCUGAUCUUUUAGUUAGCAGCCAAGCACCUUAAUCACUGUGCCGUUAGGGCUCCUGGUUCUAUAUAUACGCUGUUGUUGUUGUUAGGUGCCAUCAAGUCAGUUCCAACUCAUAGUGACCCUAUGUGCAACAGAACGAACUAUAUACAGUGAAUACAUAUAAUCAUCUACUUCCCUAGUGUCUGUUUUGUAAGUUCCUGUUUUUAAAUACUGGGUUUUCUUGAAGGCUCAUCUCACAGGCAGACAGUCUAGUGGCAGCCACAGAGGAAUGCCCAGCCAUCGAUCGAGGUGACCUGGACUGUCCCUUCAGGGAAGGUGAGGUGGGAGAGUGGUUAUUGCAGGAAGAGGGAGACUCAUCCACAGGGGAAAUAGGCCACUUGGGCAAAAUCAGAAGUACCCAUUCCAGAUCUCCGCUGCUGCUGUGCUUGGAGUCUGUUCUCUGGCAGGCGGGGGAUUUUGUGGGAAGGGAUUUUAAAGCACUCCCCAAACCUUCCCGCUGCUCCCCACCCUUUGCUCUUCCUCUGGGAGUUCCUAACAGCCUCAGUAUAAAAUGCCCAGGAUGGAGAGAAACCACUUCGAUUAUGUGAGUUUAAAGGUAUUUGGCCACACCACCACUCUGCCAGUUUGUCGUAUUGUGGUGGUUUGCAUGUUGCUAUAAUGCGGGAAGCUAUCUCACCAGUGUUUCAAAUACCAGCAGGACACCCAUGGUAGACAGGCUUUGACAGAGCUUCUGGGCUAAGAGGGGCUAGGAAGAAAGGCCUGGAAAUUCACUUCCGAAAAUCAGCCUAUGAAAACCUUAAGGAUCACAACAGAAUAUUGUUUGACUUGCUUUGUUUGAACACAUUAUCAGGAGGGAUUAAUCAUUGGAGGAGGACAUCAUGUUCGGUGAAGUAGAGGCUAGCGAGGGUGAGGGAGACCCUCGGUGAGAUGGGUUGACACAAUAGCCACAACAACAAAUAACAAUGAUUGUAAGACUGACACAGGACUGGGCAAUGUUUUGUUCCAUUGUACAUGAGGUCACCACGAGUCAGCUAGCUAGAUGUCUACCUAUCUAUCUAAAGGCAUGUGAAGACCAAAUCUCCAGCAGCUCAGCCAGGGAAAUGAGCCCCCUACCAGGCAUCGGUCUUGGAAGAAGUACAACUGGAAUGCUCCUCAGAAGCAAGGAUGGC